AAGCAGUUGAUGCGUUCACGCAAAAUUGGAACAAUGAAGUUAAUUGGAUUGUUCCUCCAAUUUCUGUUGUCUGUAGAGCAAUUAAACAUUUGAUUUUAUGUAAAGCUAGAGGCACUUUGAUCGUUCCAAAGUGGCCUUCCUCGUCAUUUUGGACAAUGAUUUUUAAAAGAGGUUCGCAUUUGCAACCAUAUGUAAUUGAUGUUUUAGAAUUUCAACCAAAUCAGA
rnacentral:lncRNA from 1 species